GGAAUAGUAGCAGUGAUCAAACUCUAAAUGUGUAGUGAAUUAGAACAUUAGUGGGCCUGGCACCAGCAGACCCUUACUCUUCGGCAAGCACCUGGGAUACAAUUCACACUUCAUACCCAUCUGCCAAGCAUGCCUUACCAGAGACGGUGCCACUUCUGGAUGACAUUCUGAUAUCUUAUCAGUCGAUUCUCCACACAACUGAUAAUGAGGAGAUAAUAAUAUAAUACUCCUUAGCAUUUAUAGAGUGGGUUGGGAUGUUCAAAGUGCUUCCCAGGCAUCCUCACAGAAAUAUUUACCCAACUCUCCGAAGGGGAUCACAGCUCUGUACUUUCCUCCAGGCCACACCUGAAGAUCAAGGCUGGAAGUGAGAUCUGAACAGUGGUAUCUUCACAAUCGCUGCUCCAGCAGGCUGACAAUUCUGCAACGGGACCUGUACAUUGCGGCAAAAUGCAAAAUAGAUCCAUGCUUCUGAUUACAACGGCAUUGCAUUUGAGAAGAGGAGAGCCAUUCCCUUCCUGAGAGUCCCUUGUUGGCUAAGUGGUUCUAUAAGGAAUGGUGGUUGUUAGUCUCGUGCCUAGCUUGUAAAACAAGAGAUCACCCUGGGCAGCCAUUCUUUGUUUUCUGUCAUUACAAACAACUCAGGGGCAAUCAGCAGCUCCACUGACAACCUCAUUCCUCCACCAUCUGCUGGCUGUCAAUCAGGCAGCCAUCCUGAGGCCAUUGAUAGAGCUGCCAGAUUGAUUGAGCCUCGGUUGUCAGAGAAGGCUUUGUGAUUCCUUAUACCCAAUCGCUCCUCUGCAUCUGCAGGAAUAGACUCAUACUCCCGAUUUACAUAAUGUUCCACGUUAUCAAGGUACCGGGAAAGGAAAUGCAUAAGAUCGUCUCUUGCUGCUUCCAGGCACAAUGGGAUCUCACAGCACCAGCAGAUGAGAGUUUUGAAUGGGGUGCAGAAAAGGAGGA